UACGAGGGGUGCAAGCGUUACUCGGAAUUACUGGGCGUAAAGCGUGCGUAGGUGGUGAGUUAAGUCUGUCGUGAAAGCCCCCGGGCUCAACCUGGGAAUGGCGAUGGAUACUGGCUCGCUAGAGUGCGGUAGAGGAGAGUGGAAUUCCCGGUGUAGCAGUGAAAUGCGUAGAGAUCGGGGAGGAACAUCAGUUGCGAAGGCGGCUCUCUGGACCAGCACUGACGAUCAGGCACGAAAGCGUGGGGAGCAAACAGG
rnacentral:rRNA from 1 species